rnacentral:tRNA from 1 species
AGACCCAUGGUGUAAUGGUAACACACCGGUUUUUGGUACCGAUAUUCGGGGUUCGAGUCCCUGUGGGUCUA